ACUCUGCUUGGGCCACUUCAAAAGAAGUCAGACUCCAGGGGCACUCUUGGGACCCCUUAGAUACAUGGAACCUUCAAACCUUACCCUGGCUAUGGUAUGACCAUGGACUCCUGCCUCCAAACCCUGGAGACCCUCACCCAACCCUUAAAGAGCCUCAGAACCACCUCAUAGACUCAGCUACAGACCCUCAGCCUCCCGAAUCCAUCUUGGAACCCUCAAUCCUCUCCUAAGAGUCCUAUUUGGAUACUCCACUCAGUCCCCCAAAACCUACUCUGAUCCCCUAUAGCUGCCUCAGUCCCCCUGGAUGCCCCCAACCUUUCCUCUUAAAGGAAACCCCCCAACCCCUACCAGAUCUAGCUCUUGGCCCCCCUCAGUCACCCCUAAUCCUCGCCUCCGAUUCAGCCCUUAUUACUCUCCCCUCUCCUCCGGACAAACCAAUCUCAGAUCCCCCUAGUUCCGUCCUCUUCCGCCUGGACCCAACGAUAGCACUCUAAUCCCCAAAUUCCCAUUCCAGGCUCCCUAAUCUCCACUUCAGACCCAGCCUUAAGUCCUCAGCCCCGCAAAACCUUGUCUCAGGACCCCCAAUCGGCUCCCCAAGCCCCGUCUCAGGACCCUUUUUCCCGUCUCAGGACCCUUUUUCCCGUCUCAGGACCCUUUUUCCCGUCUCAGGACCCUUUUUCCCGUCUCAGGACCCUUUUUCCCGUCUCAGGACCCUUUUUCCCGUCUCAGGACCCUUUUUCCCGCCUCAGGACCCUUUUUCCCGUCUCAGGACCCUUUUUCCCGUCUCCGCCCUAGUCUCGGUCCCCUCAGUCCCUCAAACCCUCUCUCAGGCCCCCGAUUCCUGCCUAAGCACCAGUCGCGGUUCCCUGGCUCCCGAACCCCGCCCCAAGCGCCCCCAUUUCUAGCCCAGUUCCCUCAACACGACCAGAGGCGCCGCGGUCGCCGAGGCCCCACAGCCGCCGCCUUAAGCCCCAGCUCGGCUCACCUCCUCCAUCUUCUGCACCAUCUCCGUCAGCUGGCCCUCGUCCUCCAGCAGCUCGUUGAGCUGCACCAGCGACAGCCCGGCGAACCGGGCUUCGCUCCCGGCGCCCGCCAUCCCCACGUCUCGGCCGUCGUCGCCACCGCCGCUGCGGCCACCAGGCUCCGCCGACCGGAAGCGCCGCCCUCAAGGGCCGCCCCCCGCGGGGGGGCACGUGACGCCAGCCCUGGGUCGUGACGUCAUCACCGUGCGGGCGGGCGGACGGACGUGACGAAGAGAGAGACCGCGAUCCAAGGAAAACAGGCAGUGGGAAGGAAGUUACUGCAGCCUGUGAGCCCAGCCCGAUGCACGGAACCCAAAAGACGGAGACUUCAUGGGGAAACAACAUUAGGUGUCACUGGUUCCUUGGAAUUGUGGAGCUGCCACGUCAUUCAUUUAACAAAUAUAUUUUGAGACCUACUCUGUACUGGGCAUUGAGUAUACAGUUCUGAAUAAAGCAAAACGGACCCCUGCUUACAUGGAGCUAACAGAAUGAAAGAGGACGCAAACAAAACAAGAAAUAAGUAAAAUAAUUAGGAGAUCACAAGGGAAUGGACACUGAAAUAAGAGAAUAAAAAGACCUUUAGGGUAGUAAGAGAUGGCACUUUCAGAGAAGUGGCGUCUAAGGAAAUGUGAAGGAUGAAAAGGGAGGAACCAGCCACCAUUUCUGUAGGAAGUUCAAGGCAGCAAAACCAGCACGUGCAAAGGCCCUGAGACAGGACUAACUUGGUGCAUUCAGGAAUGGGAAGAAGGCCAGUAAGGCUGGAGCAUUUUGAGCAAGGACCCACUGAGUGGCCCCUUUGCAUCACCUCAGAGGAAGGUGCCCAGACAUCCAGAUGGGCCAACCUGUGCUCCUUCAGAAACAACACGAUUUAGGGUGCAGUCGCUCUCAUUCUCCCAGCUACCGGGAAGCCUCUUAAGAUCCAGGAGCCUGGGAACUCAUUAUCCUACUUUGGAAUCUGUCAUAGUUCUAGUUAGAAGAAACCUAAGGCUGAGGUUAAUGACAGCCCCCUAAUUUUACACAUAAGGAAACUGAAGCCCUGGGAGGGGGAAGUUUUUUGGGCUUUUGCUUUGUUUCUGAAAAUCAAGUAAUUGGCAGGUCUCCUGGCUCCCAGUCUGGCGUCCACCACGCUGGCAUCAUAACACACUGACCUCGUCGCAUAACUCAGCUCUGAACACAGUCGAGGCAUUCAGCAAAUGCUUAUCGGCAGACUUAGGGGCUUUGUGUAUGAAGCUGAUGCUUCUGCAACUCCAUGGGUAAAACAUAAGAAAAUGUGUGAAGAUACCAGUUUAUUCUGCUCUUACCUUGUGGUCCUUCUCGAGGUGAUUCUGCAUAUGCUAAUGAUCUUACGUCAGCUCCCACCUCAGUCACUCCGACCUCUUCACCUCCUGGACCUGUUGCCCUCAACGUCAGUGCUACAGAAACCCACCUAGUUUACGCUCUUCUUUCAAGAGGGGGUGCCCUGUCUGAUGCACUCAAAAUCUACUCCCUCCUCCCGAGCCUUUCUAUUUAUAUAACUGCAUAAUGUUUAACUGUACAGGGAAGCUAUGAAUCCUGUAUUCAUUUCCUAUGCUGUGACAAACGACAACUAACUUAGUGGCUUAAGCAACACUCAUUUCUUCUCUUACAGUUCUGCAGGUCAGAUGUCCAAAAUCACGACGUCCUAAAGGCAAGGUGUUGGCAGCCCUGGUUCUUUCUGGAAACUCAGAGGGGAGAAUCAGCUUCCUUGCUUUUCUCCCAGCUUCUAGGGGCCUCGGUCAAUCUCUGCCUGUUUUCAGAUCGCCUCCUCUGACCCUGAUGCUCCUGCCUCCCUCUUAGGAAGGCUUUUGUGAUGACACUAGACUCACCUGGAUAGCCCAGGCGCCACUCCCCACCGCAAGGCCCUUCGCUUAAUCAGACCUGCAAAGACUUUGUACCACACAAAACAACGCUGGCAGGGCAUGAGGAUGCGGGUGUAAUUGGGGAAUUAUUAUUUAGUCUUCCACGCCAUCCUCCUUUACAAAUAAAUAAAUUAGGACAAAGAAACUAA